rnacentral:rRNA from 1 species
UACAGAGGUCCCAAGCGUUGUUCGGAUUCAUUGGGCGUAAAGGGUGCGUAGGCGGCGCGGUAAGUCGGGUGUGAAAUCUCGGGGCUUAACUCCGAAACUGCAUUCGAUACUGCCGUGCUUGAGGACUGGAGAGGAGACUGGAAUUUACGGUGUAGCGGUGAAAUGCGUAGAUAUCGAUAAGGAAGACCAGUGGCGAAGGCGGGUCUCUGGACAGUUCCUGACGCUGGAGGCAACGAAGGCCAGGGGAGCAAACGGG